AGUAAAGAGUGGAAAAUUUAUAAAUUUUUAAUUUAUAAAUUUUCCCUUGAGGGAAGAUGGAGAUUUUAAAUAAUUUUCUUUUUUUUUCUUUUUGAAAAAAAAAAGUUAUUUAAUAAUCUGUCGCAUUCCCAAGGCGCUUGUUUCUCGCUUUGCGAGUCAAUGCGCACUUAGAGCGUACACGCUGAUACCCGAAAGAUGGUGAACUAUGCCUGGCCAGGACGAAGCCAGGGGAAACCCUGGUGGAGGUCCGCAGCGAUUCUGACGUGCAAAUCGAUCGUCGGAGCUGGGUAUAGGGGCGAAAGACCAAUCGAACCAUCUAGUAGCUGGUUCCCUCUGAAGUUUCCCUCAGGAUAGCUUGCGCUCGGUUGAGACGAGUCUCAUCCGGUAGAGCGAAUGAUUAGAGGCAUUGGGGUCGAAACGACCUCAACCUAUUCUCAAACUCCAAAUAGAUGAGAACCCCGGCUUUCUUGAAAAAUUGAA
rnacentral:rRNA from 1 species